rnacentral:rRNA from 1 species
AACGAACGCUGGCGGCAUGCCUAACACAUGCAAGUCGAACGAGCCGUUCGGGUCUAGUGGCGCACGGGUGCGUAACGCGUGGGAACCUGCCCUUAGGUUCGGAAUAACUCCCCGAAAGGGGUGCUAAUACCGGAUAAUGUCUUCGGACCAAAGAUUUAUCGCCUUUGGAUGGGCCCGCGUUGGAUUAGCUAGUUGGUAGGGUAAAAGCCUACCAAGGCGACGAUCCAUAGCUGGUCUGAGAGGAUGAUCAGCCACACUGGGACUGAGACGCGGCCCAGACUCCUACGGGAGGCAGCAGUGGGGAAUAUUGGACAAUGGGCGAAAGCCUGAUCCAGCAAUGCCGCGUGAGUGAUGAAGGCCUUAGGGUUGUAAAGCUCUUUUACCCGGGAUGAUAAUGACAGUACCGGGAGAAUAAGCUCCGGCUAACUCCGUG